GAUGUGAGGGCCAGACCCUGUUUAAGAUGGAGCAGGUAUUCCAGCACAGCUGGAGGGAUGACUGAGUUGGUGAGAGACCUCGUUGAGAAGACUACACCAAGGAAUACUUCCAUUUGGCUAGGCCUACCUGGGGAGACCCUCCACCUCUGGAAGAUGGAUCUCGUCAUCUCUGGAUGAAGGAACCAUUCAUGAUGAGAGGAAAAAGACCUACUGAGGUGAUCUGCGAGGGUAUUCCAGGCUCCUGGAAGAUGAUAUAGCUAAGUGCUGUACGUUAAGUACGGUAAUCCUGAGUUGAAUCUUACAAGCUGGGACAUACUAUUCCUGUGAGUACAGAAGAUCUAAAAGCUUUGUGACUGUUUGGUGGAUCAUGGGCUGAGCACUCCAGAGGGACACUUGGAGGACUUAGGGGUUGGUGACUGUCUAUCGCUAACCUCUAUAAAAAAAAAAGCAAGGCCUGAAGCUACUGGGGCCAUGCAUUUUGUAAAUACUCGCGGGGCCAAAGAGAGGCCAAAGUGUAACACCGGGAAUUGGAAGUGACGCUGGCCCACCAUAAAACAGAGGGAUUUUCUGUGUCCUUGGAAGAUGGAAAUAUGAAAGUAAGCGACUUUCAAGUCGAGAGCAGUGUACCAGACUCCCGGAUCCAGGGAGAGGAUGAUGGAGGCCAGAGAAGCCAUGUGGAACUUCAACUUCUUGAGACAUUUUUGAGUUGCUGCAAGUCAGGAAUGGGUCUUAGGCCCCCUUUUGCCUUCAGGAUUAGGAAAUAACAGGAGUAGAAUCUUUUCCCCUUCAUUUCGAGGGAUCUCCUCCACUGCCCCCAGCUGCAGGAGGUUGUCUACCUCUUUAAUGAGGAGUUUCACAUGAGAAGCAUCCCUAAAGAGGGAAUGGAGUUGGGGGUGGUGGUGGCCAAGAAUUGGAGGGUGUAUCCCACCGAUACAAUUUCUAGCACCCAGCGAUCUGAGGUAACCUGUGACCAGGCCGAACGGUAGGGACGAAGACAGUUGAGGAAAGAAUGAGGCGGAUCUGGGAAGUUGACUGGGGCAUCGCUCUCGAGUGCACCCUCAAAACGCAUGCUUCUGGCCUCCAUGAUGUUUCACCGGUCCAGGUUGUGCAGGUGAACAGGAGGAGGAAGGGUGGCGACAACUAAAACUCCUGUCCUUAUUCCUUCUCCUUGCAGACUCUUGUCAAAACUGUCAAGGCCUUAGUGGCGGGGGCAUCUGGAACUGUUUAGUCACCAACUGAAGCGUAUGCAACCCCAGUGAGCCUGAGUGUCCUUCAACCUGUGGAGCUCAUAUCCAUCUGGGAAAUCAUGGAUAAAAGACCGCAUCUCCUGGGACAGGCCUGCGUACUGAAGUCAGGAACAGCGCCUCAUGGCCAUCGCUGAAGUGACCACUCUGGCUGCUGAAUUGGCCACAUCCCAUGCCAUUUGGAGGGAACACCGAGCUGCAAUAGUACCCUCCUCAACAAGGGCCCCGAAUUUUUGGGCCGCAUUGUGGGGCAUGGAGUCCUUGAACUCAUGGAGGGAGUCCCAUAAGUUGAAAGUUAUAUCUCCCCAAAAGAGCCUGGUGGUUUGCGACUCUGAACUGGAGACUGGCUGUGGAAUAAAUUUUCCUUCCAAAAAGA